rnacentral:rRNA from 1 species
UACGAAGGGUGCAAACGUUGUUCGGAAUCAUUGGGCGUAAAGCGCACGUAGGCGGCCUCGCAAGUCGGACGUGAAAUCCCUCAGCUCAACUGAGGACGUGCAUCCGAAACUGCAAGGCUUGAGUACUGAAGAGGAUUGCGGAAUUCCCGGUGUAGAGGUGAAAUUCGUAGAUAUCGGGAGGAACACCAGUGGCGAAGGCGGCGAUCUGGGCAGAUACUGACGCUGAGGUGCUAAAGCGUGGGGAGCAAACAGG